rnacentral:lncRNA from 1 species
AUCUGGGAGAUCUCUUUCUGAGUGUCUUCGCGCGGUGUGAUGAAAACUAUGACAAGUGCCGCCAAGGGCCAUCCGGGGGAAAGCGGGCUCCUGAUGGCACCGUGGCACAUCCCCAGGGACCUUGUUCACCAGAUCUGGACGCAUGUGACUCUUAGGUCUUCCCCAAAGUCAAAACGCCCACGAAAGGUUAACAUCUGAACGGACUGAGAACUCUGAAGCAGCCAGGACAGUGCAAUGAAAGACGCUCACGAGAGAAACAUUCCACUCCUACUUCAGAAAGUGCGCUCAUCCCCGUUCCAGAGACAGACGAUACCAAGUGAUCGGAAAUGCAAUGAGAAUAUUUUCUGGGAUUACUGAAGUGUCUGGAAGCUUGACUGAACCAAGUAUUAGAGUUGGUAAAAAGCUUGCUAUUUUUAAAGAACAAUGGACGAGGCCAAGACAAGAAUGUGGAGGGAAUUAUAGACAGGCUUUUGUUGCUAUCGUUGUUAUUAUACUGAAGAGCUACAUGAGACAGAACGUUUGGCAGCCUUCCCACAAUCCUCAGCAUGUGGGAAUAGCAAGUAAUAAAGUGUUAGCCCCUGCCAACUGGUGGUUCCCUGUAAAAUGUCUCUGUUAACAACCAACACUGCUGCUAGCAGCCAUCGGAGCAAGGCGGCAAAUCUGUUCCUCUCUACAGUGUGGAAAACACCACUGAAAAAGUCAUCUAAUUACUUGAUUAAGAUGUAUCAAUCCUGAAAAUUGUUGAUCUAGAACACUGAGUCUCUGACAUUUAGUUUAUUCUUGAUUAAACACAAUAGUUUCAAACUGCCUCUUGUGUAUUGUCUUCAAAUACUGUGUGCCAUGCAGAGAAUUCGAACAGUAGAAACUUUUCAUGGGGGAGGAAAAAAAAACAGUUUGGGACCAAAUCUUUUCAACUCUUUCAAUACAGCUCUUCAAUAAGUCCCUGAGUUCAUAAAGGGAAAGGAUAGGACUUUCUACAAGUCUCUGUUAAGACUUGGGGAACAUAAUUAUUUUU